rnacentral:rRNA from 1 species
UACGUAGGCAGCAAGCGUUGUUCGGAGUUACUGGGCGUAAAGGGUGCGUAGGCGGUUCUGUAAGUAUGGUGUGAAAUCUCCCGGCUUAACCGGGAGGGUGCGCUAUAAACUGCGGGACUAGAGUGUGGGAGAGGAAAGUGGAAUUCCUGGUGUAGCGGUGAAAUGCGUAGAUAUCAGGAGGAACACCGGUGGUGUAAACGGCUUUCUGGACCAUAACUGACGCUGAGGCACGAAAGCGUGGGGAGCAAACAGG